rnacentral:rRNA from 1 species
CCUACGGGAGGCAGCAGUGGGGAAUUUUGGACAAUGGGCGCAAGCCUGAUCCAGCAAUGCCGCGUGAGUGAAGAAGGCCUUCGGGUUGUAAAGCUCUUUUGUCAGGGAAGAAACGGCCUGUUCUAAUACAGCGGGCUAAUGACGGUACCUGAAGAAUAAGCACCGGCUAACUACGUGCCAGCAGCCGCGGUAAUACGUAGGGUGCAAGCGUUAAUCGGAAUUACUGGGCGUAAAGCGUGCGCAGGCGGUUUUGUAAGUCUGUCGUGAAAUCCCCGGGCUCAACCUGGGAAUGGCGAUGGAGACUGCAAGGCUAGAGUUUGGCAGAGGGGGGUAGAAUUCCACGUGUAGCAGUGAAAUGCGUAGAUAUGUGGAGGAACACCGAUGGCGAAGGCAGCCCCCUGGGUCAAAACUGACGCUCAUGCACGAAAGCGUGGGGAGCAAACAGGAUUAGAUACCCUGGUAGUCCACGCCCUAAACGAUGUCUACUAGUUGUCGGGUCUUAAUUGACUUGGUAACGCAGCUAACGCGUGAAGUAGACCGCCUGGGGAGUACGGUCGCAAAGNUUAAAACUCAAAGGAAUUGACGGCUGAGAGNGCGAGACGACACGAGGGAGGAGG